GACGAACGCUGGCGGCGUGCUUAACACAUGCAAGUCGAGCGGUAAGGCCCUCGGGUACGACGAGCGGCGAACGGGUGAGUAACACGUGGGUGACCUGCCUCUAGCUCUGGGAUAAGCCUGGGAAACGUGGGUCUAAUACCGGAUAUGACUCCACGGCGCAUGUUGUGGGGUGGAAAGCCUUGUGCGGCUAGAGAUGGGCCCGCGGCCUAUCAGCUUGUUGGUGGGGUGAUGGCCUACCACGGGCGACGACGGGUAGCCGGCCUGAGAGGGCGACCGGCCGACACUGGGACUGAGACACGGCCCAGACUCCUACGGGAGGCAGCAGUGGGGAAUCUUGCGCAAUGGGCGAAAGCCUGACGCAGCGACGCCGCGUGAGGGAUGACGG
rnacentral:rRNA from 1 species